GUGUCAGCAGCCGCGGUAAUACGGAGGGGGCUAGCGUUGUUCGGAAUUACUGGGCGUAAAGCGCACGUAGGCGGGCAUUUAAGUCGGGGGUGAAAUCCCGGGGCUCAACCCCGGAACUGCCUCCGAUACUGGGUGCCUUGAGGUCGGGAGAGGUGAGUGGAAUGGCGAGUGUAGAGGUGAAAUUCGUAGAUAUUCGCCGGAACACCAGUGGCGAAGGCGGCUCACUGGCCCGAUACUGACGCUGAGGUGCGAAAGCGUGGGGAGCAAACAGGAUUAGAAACCCGCGUAGUCC
rnacentral:rRNA from 1 species